rnacentral:rRNA from 1 species
CCUACGGGUGGCUGCAGUCGAGGAUCUUCGGCAAUGGGCGCAAGCCUGACCGAGCGACGCCGCGUGCGGGAUGAAGGCCUUCGGGUUGUAAACCGCUGUCAGAGAGGCGGCCUAUUCUCAGAGGAAGUGCGGGCUAAGUCCGUGCCAGCAGCCGCGGUAACACGGACCGCACGAACGUUAUUCGGUAUCACUGGGCUUAAAGGGUGCGUAGGCGGCUUGGCAAGUUGGGUGUGAAAGCCCUCGGCUCAACCGAGGAAUUGCGCUCAAUACUGCCGAGCUCGAGAGAGACAGAGGUAAGCGGAACUAAUGGUGGAGCGGUGAAAUGCGUUGAUAUCAUUAGGAACACCGGUGGCGAAGGCGGCUUACUGGGUUUUCUGACGCUGAGGCACGAAAGCCAGGGGAGCGAACGGGAUUAGAUACCCUAGUAGUC